rnacentral:rRNA from 1 species
GUGGGGAAUAUUGGACAAUGGGGGGAACCCUGAUCCAGCCAUGCCGCGUGUGUGAAGAAGGCCUUUUGGUUGUAAAGCACUUUAAGUGGGGAGGAGGCUUACCUGGUUAAUACCUAGGCUAAGUGGACGUUACCCACAGAAUAAGCACCGGCUAACUCUGUGCCAGCAGCCGCGGUAAUACAGAGGGUGCGAGCGUUAAUCGGAUUUACUGGGCGUAAAGCGCGCGUAGGUGGUUAAUUAAGUCAAAUGUGAAAUCCCCGAGCUUAACUUGGGAAUUGCAUUUGAUACUGGUUAGCUAGAGUAUGGGAGAGGAUGGUAGAAUUCCAGGUGUAGCGGUGAAAUGCGUAGAGAUCUGGAGGAAUACCGAUGGCGAAGGCAGCCAUCUGGCCUAAUACUGACACUGAGGUGCGAAAGCAUGGGGAGCAAACAGGAUUAGAUACCCCUGUAGUCC